UCGAGCCGGAUGCAGGGAAACUUGCACGUCCGGUUCCUAGGGGGCUAGGGGGCAGCAAUCCCCCCCUGCUACCCGAC
rnacentral:ncRNA from 1 species